UACGUAGGGGGCAAGCGUUGUCCGGAUUUAUUGGGCGUAAAGAGCGUGUAGGCGGCCAAACAGGUCAGCUGUGAAAACUCGAGGCUCAACCUCGAGACGUCGGUUGAAACCGUAUGGCUAGAGUCCGGAAGAGGAGAGUGGAAUUCCCGGUGUAGCGGUGAAAUUCGUAGAUAUUGGGAAGAACACCGGUGGCGAAGGCGGCGCUCUGGACCGAGACUGACGCUGAGGCGCGAAAGCGUGGGGAGCAAACAGG
rnacentral:rRNA from 1 species